rfam:Erinaceus europaeus unplaced genomic scaffold scaffold00288, whole genome shotgun sequence
CAGGGUUUAUAGCACUUAAAAUGGCGGCGUCUGUGCAGGGCCAAAUACUGCAGGCGUGGUAAGGUGACCAACGGACGAAUCUACUAAAGCAAGCUCAGAAACUCCUGGCGUGUGUGUGUAUGC